GAUGAAGAACGUAGCGAAAUGCGAUAAGUAAUGCGAAUUGCAGAAUUCAGUGAGUCAUCGAAUCUUUGAACGCACAUUGCGCCCCCUGGUAUUCCGGGGGGCAUGCCUGUCCGAGCGUCAUUGCAACCUUCAAGCGCGGCUUGUGUGUUGGGUCUCGUCCCCCGUGGACGGGCCCGAAAGGCAGUGGCGGCGUCCCGACAUGGUGCCCGAGCGUAUGGGAAUCCUCUUCCGCUCGAAUCGGCCCAUGCGGCGCUGGUCGUAACCAAAUUUUUUACCGGUUGACCUCGGAUCAGGUAGGGAUACCCGCUGAACUUAAGCAUAUCAAUAAGCGGAGGA
rnacentral:misc_RNA from 1 species